UCUAUUUGCAUAAUUACUGCCACAUCACCAGUCAAUCAAUUUUAUGUGUUUCUCUCCUAAACCAAUCUAAAAUAUGAUACGUAUAUAAAAACAUCACCCAUGAUUAUACAGACUUCACAUUUAUUAUUGCUUCAGGUCAAAGAUAUAUGAUAAAAUUACCCUCUGUUAUUUCCCCCUCCCUUCCCACUUCUUUAAUGCACAACUCUGAAUACUUCCUUUAGUACAGUUUAUCAGCAAUUUAUUUUUUCUCUGAAUGAGAGACAAAAGAAAAUAAGUAAUGGAGCUAGUCAAAACAAAGCAAGUAGCUACCACAGACAGCUAUGAGGAUUGCUCAUUUUUACAAGCAUGUGGAAACACAAGCAACUGUACACAUUGAUAGAUAGAUAGAUAGAUAUCACAUAGAUAUCUCACAUAGAUAUUUUGUCAGGAAAGACAAAAGUAUUCCCGCUUUCUGGCUAAAUUCCAUACUUGAAAAUAAGUGGCUCCAAUGGAACCUGAGCUCCUGUGACAGCUGAAACUUGAUGGUUCUAUCUCACAUCUUGGUGAAAUAUAAAAAACAAGAGAACCCAACCUCAAGUUAGAUGACGUGACUGAUGUGUCAUCAGAAGCCAAGAUGAACCAUUUUACAUACCAGUUAGACAGUGUUACACAAUUUGUUGCUGUUAUAAGUUACACCGGUUGAUUCUUGCCACCAGUCCAUGUACAGGGAGAAAACUGUAGUUUUCUCAAAGGUAGUAGAAAUCAUUUAUAAUAAGAAGUACUUGAUUUCUUCAUGGCAGGAGUUGGCUUCCAGUUAUGAAUUAUCAUAGAAUAAACAAUCUGAUAUGUUCUUCAAAAAUAUUUUGCUGAUCCUUGCUAAUCUUCCAUCCAAGGUACACCACAACGGACUUGACUUUUCAUCCUUCUUACUGCGGACUUACUGAGUGUAAAAAUCACUUCUGAACAUUUGAAGGAAAAAUGAAAAACUAGCCUGUUUCCUGCAAAAAGUAAAAUAUAACAGUAAGCAUACUUAUCAAAAUUCUCGGCUCCAGAAGAUCCCAAACAGAGCCAAAAAAUAUGUAAUAUCUCACUUCUGCUGACGACUAAUUUAUCUUUUUCUCCUCAGUGUCCAAAGUAUCAGUGCUAUGUUUUUGUGUUUAGAUUCAAAUUGUAAUGGAUCAGAGAACAGCAGUUUGAAGGAAAUGGCAAAAUUCCCACUUAUUUUCAUAAAACAAGAAUUUACAUCUGCUUCAAUAAAAGCUUCUCACUACCCUGGUCUGGGAUGGGCUAAUCCUCUGUUUCUGUGUGCUCUACUUCAGCUUGUUGUUGAUUCAAACUCUGCUAUUUGUGUGCUUCUAGGAAAUAAUCCAGUGUGCUCCGAGUUGGAAAACUCAAGAAGUGACUGGAAGGCAGUGGGAUCUCAAACCUGGGCAGGAUGCUGGUGUGGAGGAGCAUACAGUGUCUGCAACACUACCACACAACAUCCUUGGUUAAGUAACUAGCCUUUACUGUUCCAUUUAUUUCUCAGCCUAAUAAAGCUCAGUAAUUCCCAA